rnacentral:rRNA from 1 species
UACGUAGGGGGCUAGCGUUGUCCGGAAUCAUUGGGCGUAAAGCGCGUGUAGGCGGCUCGGUAAGUCCGCUGUGAAAGUCGGGGGCUCAACCCUCGGAUGCCGGUGGAUACUGUCGGGCUUGAGUACGGAAGAGGCGAGUGGAAUUCCUGGUGUAGCGGUGAAAUGCGCAGAUAUCAGGAGGAACACCGGUGGUGAAGGCGGGUCUCUGGGCCGAUACUGACGCUGAGGAGCGAAAGCGUGGGGAGCGAACAGG